CUUAAAAUAAAUAAUUUAAAAUUAUACUAUACUUUUUUUUAAAAAUUCAAAAUAGCCAUUUUGUAAAAUAGAUUUCUAGAUAAAUUUUGGUGGUUGAAACUUUUGUUAAAGUAUAGUCUUUAAUUUUCUAUGAUUUUUUUGAAAAUUUUCUUUUCAAUAACAAUAUUGUUUAUCAACAUAAAUUACCAUUAUUGAUUGAUUUAAAACUACCCCAUCACCAAGGUCUUAGAAUAUAACUAUAACAUAAUAUUAUUGCAUGAUAUUAACUCAUGGAAAAGAAAAUUCUGACUAAUAACUGAAUAGCCACAAUAGGUAAUAUUCACAUUACCAAAAACUUCAAUAAAUCCUAGAAAAUAAAAGACCAUACAUAAACAAAAGUUUCAACCACCAAAAAUUUUCUAAAAAUCUAUUUUAAAAAAUGGCUAUUUUGAAUUUUUUAAAAAAAAUUAAAGUAAGUUUUAAAUUUUAAGUCCCCCUCCCUUAAAAAAAAAAAAUCAUAUAUAAACUGUAGGCCUGAGACUUACUAAUUACUUAAAAAAAAUGUAUGUCAAAAUUAUUGAAUAGAAUAAAAGUUAAUGCAUUUAUUGAAUCCUCGUGAGACACUCUGUAAAGCAAGUACCAAUGUAGGUACUAUUGCGAACCAAGAAACAAUUUUGAGAGUUCAGUUGAUAGUAUUACUUCGACAACAAUAUUACCUAAUACCUGCUAUAUUAUGGUAAAAUAAUUACAUAGGUAUUAUAAAUUUUUUUGAAUAAUAUUUGUUUAAUAUUGUAUCCAUUUUCCCGUUUUUCCAUUUAUUGGAAAAACUCCUGGGAAAAUAAAUAAAUGAUCUUAAAGUACCUCCCCAGUCAGAUUUCCUUUAGGAAAAAGCACUAUCAUUGUAGAUUGGAGCAAAAUUACUAGUAC